AAAACAAAUACCAAAGUUGAUUGGAUUUCCUAAUUCGUCUUCUUUAUAUAAGAAACCUGGUGGUUAUCUCCCUUUUCUCAUGAGAUCGUGUCUGUUGAUUUUUUUCAGGUUUUUUUACAGGGUCGAUGCAGAAUCAGAAAGAUGUGCAUCUUUUUAGGGUUGUUGUAGCCGGAUUCAUGCAUUCAAACGAUUAGAUAUUAUAAAACUUAUUAGUUUUUUUGGUUUGUAAUUUGAUUAAUUUCUUAAGAUUUAGUUUCACGGACUUCAAUUGGAUUUAGUUUUUUUUGUCUGAUUUUUGUUUGUGGUUUGAUUUAAGUUUUGUGGUUUGUUCUUUUGUUUUAGAUUUAUCCCUUACUUAUUCGUCGCAGGAAUUGAUGAGAGCUUCUGUCUUCAUCACCAGCCGUAUUGUCUUUGUUGUGCUAUUGUUGAUCAUCUAACAAUAUACACAUUAGAAUUGUCGCCACAGAUCGAAGUUAACGCCAGUGUUAUCUACGAUAUCAUUUAUUUACUGUGAGGCAAUUGCUAUUGCUUAGCUCGGUCCCAAAAGAGGGCUAUGAUGGUGCAAAUGGGGUGCUGGAUGAAGCUGUUUUGCUGGUGACAGUGGUCUUAGCUUAAUCAACAGCUCAUCCGUAAGAGUCUGUACAGUGUGAUAGUAGAUGUCUAUUAGCGAACCAUACAUGUUAUGUCAAAUAUUCGAUAAUUAAAGAAUCCUUGGCGAAAAAGCUGAAUAAAAAUGUUACAUUCUAGAGAUUGGAAAUGGGCAAAGCUUAAUGAUUUCACAGAAGGCAGACUCAUUUACGUCUGAAGCAAGAACGGGGUGAUAGAGCGAAGGGCAUGGGAAAGAAUUCUGAUGAGGUUAUCGAGCUCCAAUGAUCAAGGUCAUCUCUCAACUGAGAAUUAAGGAACUCAACAUGUGCAUGACGCCCAAAAUGUCCUGAGGAAGGCAUUAACAUCAUGGAAAAUUCCAGUUUACAACUCUUAUCAGAGCUAAUGUUCUUUUCAAACUAUAUUAAGAAUUGUGCUUGCUAUUUUAGCUCAAAUGGAAGAGCACAUGGUUCUCAACCAUGUAGUGUGUGUUCGACUCCCACAGAUGGAUUUCUGAUUAACUUUUGUAGGCUAAAACAACCUUUUCAAGAAUGUUUGCCAGUAACACGCUUGCAGGUCUCCGAUCAAUAAGGAUGCUCAACAAGGAACAACACUUUUUUGCCGCAACUUCUUGAGGAACUUUCCUCCUCUUCGGAUGAGAGAUGUUGCAAGGCCUACUCUGAGGUUAAUGCAUGGGGACUGGUAUUUUUAGCACCUCCCUAUUAUUAUGCUGCUGAGCAGAAAUGUCUUAUAUGUUCUACAGUUCAGCAUACUAUUCUUUUUUAAAAUUAUGUCUUAUAUGUACUACACAGUUCACAAUGUCUUAUCAGCAUGUUUUCCCUCUGUAAUUAACAUGAGUUCGCGAGAUAAUAGC